GACAGAGGUGCCAAGCGUUAGGCGGAAUCACUGGGCUUAAAGCGUGUGUAGGCGGAUCGUUAAGUACCUUGUGAAAUCCCACGGCUCAACCGUGGAACUGCUGGGUAUACUGGCGAUCUUGAGCCACCUAGGGGCGAGCGGAACAAGCGGUGGGGCGGUGAAAUGCGUAGAUAUCGCUUGGAACGCCAAUGGUGAAAACAGCUCGCUGGGGGUGUGCUGACGCUGAGACACGAAAGCCAGGGGAGCGAACGGG
rnacentral:rRNA from 1 species